rnacentral:misc_RNA from 1 species
UAACCUUCCGAGCGAUAUUUUAUUGCCGGGCCUUUGGCGAGGGGAGGCAAACCGAGGCGCCUAGGCGCCUGCGGUUUUCCCCCGCUUAAACUUGAAGCUAGCCGGGCGAGCCCACUGCAACGACUUGUAAAAUUUUAUCUGUCGGAAUGCGGUGGUGACCUUGCACGGCCCUAACCUUUGAC